GUGAGGAAUAUUGCGCAAUGGAGGCAACUCUGACGCAGCCAUGCCGCGUGCAGGAAGAAGGCGCUACGCGUUGUAAACUGCUUUUAACCGGGAAGAAACCCCAGGACGUGUCCUGGGUUGACGGUACCGGAGGAAUAAGCACCGGCUAACUUCGUGCCAGCAGCCGCGGUAAUACGAAGGGUGCAAGCGUUAUCCGGAUUCAUUGGGUUUAAAGGGUGCGUAGGCGGAGCGUUAAGUCAGUGGUGAAAUCCUGCAGCUUAACUGUAGACUUGCCAUUGAUACUGGCGCUCUUGAGUGCGCUUGAAGUGGGCGGAAUGUGCCGUGUAGCGGUGAAAUGCUUAGAUAUGAUACAGAACACCGAUAGCGAAGGCAGCUUGCUGAACCAUUAUUGACGCUGAGGCACGAAAGCGUGGGGAGCGAACAGGAUUAGAUACCCUGGUAGUCC
rnacentral:rRNA from 1 species